AGAACGCUGCAGUAGUGCGACGUACGCAUCGGCGGCAAACGGCGAUCGACGCCGGCACCGGCGGCACCGCCGGUAGCGGCCCGAUGGUACAAAAACAGGACCCAAUUCGUGGUAGAACCCACUUGUGGAUCGGAUCCUGACAUCGCCGCAUUCGUUGAACGACAAGUUUUAAAUUUACGGUCCGUAAUAUCGGGAAGAUAUUUAAAGUUCUAGCGGCGCGUAGUGCUAAAAACAAAAAAAAAACAAAAAAAAAAAAAUUUACUAGUAUCUCCCGAGCUGAAAAUUUGUACACAUUUGAAGAAAGAUUUGAACUCAUUUUUUAGAGGCAAAUCAGCCCGCUCGAUCAGUGCUGUAAAGAAAUCGUUGAUAAUUCUGGGACGAAAUGACGAGCAGUUAAAGGGAAAGAUAUGAUUUUCAAAUGGGAUCGUAUUUGCAUGCAUCUUAACGACGAACUGAGUAAUUGCACGUUAAAAUUCACGACCUACUUUGGUGAGUAUGUACAUAGACAUAAUGAUUGGCAAUUGAGAGCAUAUAUAAUCAUCUGCUGAAGUGAGUACAAAGAAAAAAUGUGAAAUGUAAUAACACGAGUAAAAUUUAUCGAGGAAGCGAUCGAUUUAUCUUUAGGGAAAUACCGAUUGCGAUAAAUUCUACAGUACCAAAAUUAAGCGUACAACAACCAACUGAAUUUCACGGGCAAAAUAAAGGUCGUUGUUUUGGCGAAUUAGUGUAUACGGUAAAAAAUAAAUCAAAAUUCAGGACAGGCAUCGCAAACGAAUUACAUUAACGCAAUUUUUCACCUUUACGUUUUGUUUUUUUUUUUUUUUUUUUGUUUUUCGUUUUUCUCUAUUAC